CAAGCCUCUCCAAGAAAUGUCAUCUCUUUCUCCUUUAUCGGAGAACAUGGUAUUGACCAAGGAGCACUUCGUAAAGAGUUCUUUACAGAAAUGAUCCGAGGAAUUGAGAUGCGUUUAUUUGAUGGAGAUGGGGAAAUGGGCAAAACCCCAAGUAUAGCCUUUUUGACUAUAAAGAAGACCACUUCAAGACUUGUGGGGAGAUUUUUGCUGCAAGCAUUGCACAGGGGGGCCCUGCACUAAACUUUAUCUCUAGGUGGUGCUACCAAUACCUUUGCCAUGGAGAAUUCAACAAAGACACUAUCCCUGAUGAAGUGGCAGAUACAGAUUUAAAAAUUCUUAUUGAAGAGAGGUGGAAAGAGCAGAACCAGAUGAGCUUAUUGGCUUAUCUGAUCAAGUUGUGGCGUGUGGAUACACGGGGCCAAUAACUGUUGAGCACAAACACACAAUAACACAAGCCAUUAAUUUGCAUGCAAAGCUGAGAGUUGUCCAUAUAUUGAGCCAGCUCCGUGAGGGACUAAGGCUCUAUGGGCUGAAUGAGGUGUUGAAAUACCAUGAGGACCUUUGCGAGCAAUUGUUUGUUCCAGGCCACCUGAGUAAAAAGACUGCCCAGAAGAGGAGAAUCUUCGAAAUGAGCAGGAAGAUGAGCCUGGUACAACGGGAAAGGAACAACAGUCUGUCAGUCUACAGUGGGCAACUGGGCAGGCACAUGUAUCAAUGAUAGUUUCCGAAAGAGAGGCAUUCAAAAUUAUUAUUAAUUUUGACUACGACUGUAAGUCCCGCUACGGACCACACAGGCAGUGUUACCCAACUGUGAAUGCCUGUGCAGUUGCACUUACAUUUCCGACGCGCCAUUUUGUCACCUACCAUGAUUUUGAAAAUGUUCUUACAGAGGCAAUCAGGGGUGGGUUUGAGUUCAGUAUGUACUGAAUAGGAACACUUGUGUAAACCCUGUUAGAAAAGUUAAUUCUGCUAAAUUGGAUCAGUCAUUUGUUAUUAUUUGUUAUUUGUUACUCUAACUUUUAACGUUUUUCUCUAUCAGCGUGUUACAAGUUUGUUUAAA